GUUCGCUAGUUAUCAUGGAAUGCCCGUAGGUGGUCAACCCCUCUUGUUGCACCGAUGACAUCCUCCAAUCUGAUAGUCUCAUCUCUGGAUGCGCCUCUCAUCCAUCAAUCAUCAUGGAUAUCACCCCUGCGUCAAUUAUCAAGACAACACCCUUUAAUUUUAUGGUGGAGCUAGCAGUUCAAGGGGAUUUCUUAAUCAUCUUCAUAUAUUUUCCGGCCCAUAAACUCCUCAUGACGAGUGAAGUUCCACUAUAAUGCUCUGGUGAGUAUUUUUUGAGUUCAUCCAUUUCUAAUCUUGUUUCCCCUUCCUUUUUUAUUUACAUGUUGUGUUGUCUUGUGUUAAUUAUAUUCAUCUCCUCCCGUCAUGUUAUUGUAUUUUACAUACUAGUUAUCUCUUGUUUUCACUUCAAGGAGUUCAAAUUGGUUAUUUUCAUGUAUAGAUAUCUCUAAGAGGGCCAAUAUUUUGGAAGAUGCUUGAUUUUGAUUUUUGCACAACAUGAGGACGAUGCUUGGUUAGUUUACAAUAGUUUUGCUAGCAAAACUAAUAUAUUGCAAUGCGAAGAGACUACUUAGUAUACAAGAGCCCACAGUAUAUGUAUGUUUUCCUCCUGUCCUCCCCCAAUAAAAUCAACUUACCAUUUUUGCCUUCCCCUACUCCACCCAAGCCUUUUAUAUAACCCCAUUCCCGGUUGUCUUUCCACGAGCGACAUGAAAACAUCUUUGACUUCUCUAGUUAUUGUGCAAUGUCCAUAGGUGCUCAAACUCUCUUAUUGAACCGAUGACAUCCUCCAAUCUCAUAGUAUCAUCUCUGGAUGUGUAUCUCAUCCGCCGUUCUUCAUCGACAUCGCCCCUGUUUCAACUCUCAAGGUGAGUAAAUUUUGUUGGUUUUUAGAUCUGGAAUCUUCUCCACAAAACCAGGUAUUGUCGAGAUUUGUCAUAGAAGUGGCUUAAUUUAGCUUGAUCAGGUCCCAUCAUAGUCAAGUUGUGAUGUAUCAUAUAAAUGUUUGGAUCUUCAUGUAUCUGAAUAUUCCAGCCAUUCUAUCUAAAUAUACGACUAGAUCAGGAUGCAUCCAUACAGAUCUAGGACAUGAUAUGUGUUAUUUUGCGAUAGCGCGGGUAGAUAAGGUCGGAUCUAGGAAGAUCCACUCUAAUGCGAUCAUCUAGAGGGCAUGAUGCGCCAAUAUAUGGUAGGAAGUUGGCAUCUAAUACGGACACCAUGAAUUAUGCAUUUUCCUCUGCCAUAGGCAACAUCGUUUACUUUUAUGGUGGAGCUUGCAGACCAUGGGGAUCUCUUCAUCAUCUUCAUAUAUAUUUUGGCCCACAAACUCUUCACAGCGAGAGAAAUUACACUACAAUGCUCUGGCGAGUAUUUCUUCGAGUUUAUCUAUUUAUAAUAUUGUUUCCCCUUCCUUUUUUAUUUACGUGCUCCGCCAUCUUGUUUAAAUUAUAUUCAUAUCCUCUUAUCAUGUCAUAGUAGUUUAUAUACUAAUUCUCUCGCGUUUUCACUUCGAAUAGUUCAAACUGGUUACUUUCAUGUAUAGGUAUCCCUAAGAGGAUCAAUAUUUAGGGGCAUGCUUGAUUUUAAUUUUUGCACAACAUGUGGAUGAUGUUUGGUUAGUACACUAUAUUUUUGCCAGCCAAAUCUUGUGGCCUUGAACAUGAAAUGGUAGUUAAUAUGGUGGGCUAUCCUAAUGAUUGUCGGAACCAUGAAUAGGGAAUGUUAGCUAUUAUGUUGUACAAUACCUCCUGUUGUCAAAGUUGUAGCUUGGGGCCAACAAGGUCACUCAAAAUAGCAUUUUUGUAAGCAUCUAGCCCGUAAAUGUGAAAAUCCCAUUGACACAUCAUCACCUAGGUUGUGGCAAUAAUAGUAUUUUUCAAUUUGUAGCUCUGCGCCUCCGCACAUCUAUGUACGACUACAUGUGAGAAAUAGUCUCACAUUGCUUACAUGGAUAGACUACCAUCAACAUAUAAAGCCAAUGAUUCCAUGGCAACUAACCUGGGUAAAUACUUCACACGAGUUGGAAAAUUAUGUGAACUGUUAAGGUUGCACACUUAGUGACGAACAUAGAGAGGAUUUUGUAUAAGUGAACUUGGAGACAAGACUACUAUACAACAUAUUAAACACAAUAAAUAAAUCUAAUAUAAAACUAUGAAAUUUGUUAUUCAUAACUACAACUAUUAUGUUUCAGUAACUCCUAAAUUUUAAGGGUUAGACUUUACAUUGAUUAAAUACAUAAACAUGAACUUCAUAUUCUAACAUCAAUUAGACGGCACAAGAGAUUACAGUUAUGUGGAACUUUGAUUCGCUAUAGCAAUUUGAAUGGUAAAAUUUGCUGGAAUAUAAUAUGGUGUUGAUUACCAACCAAAAAUUCCUAGUGCGACGUUAGUAGUAGAGACAACUAUUGCCAAUGGAAAUAUUGCACAAAUGUCUGGGAAAAAUAAUAUACAUAUCUCUCUCCAACGCGAAGAGACUACUUAAUCUACAAUGACCCACAAUAUAUAUUGUUUUCUCCUCUUGUCCCACGAGCAAAGCAUAUUACAAUUUAUUACUUCCCCUCCCCCUCCAAAGCCUUUUAUAUUACCCCAUUCCACAUUCUCUUUUCAUGACCAAUAUAAAAAACAUCUCCGACGUCUCUACCUGUCAUGCAAUGCCCAAUAGGUGCUCAACCCCUCUUCUUGCACUAAUGGCAUCCUCCAAUCUCAUAAUCUCAUCUCUGUAUGCGCCUAUCAUCCAUCAUUCUUCAUCGAUAUGACCUCUGUGUCAACUCUCGAGCUGAGUAAAUUUUCUUGGUUUUGAUAUCUAGAAUCCACUCCACAAAAGUAGGGAUUGUUGAGAUUUGCCGUACAAGUGGUUUAAUCUAGCUGAAUCUAGGUCCAAUCAUAGUCAAGUUAUGAUGUAUCAUAUCAACAUUUGGAUCUUGACAUAUGUGAACAUUCCAGCCAUUCAAAGUAAAUAUAUGACUGGAUUUGAAAGCAUCCAUAUAGAUCUAGCACAUGAUAUAUGUGAUUUUGCGAUAUCGCAGGUACAUAUGGUCAGAUCUAGGUAGAUCCACUCCGAUGCAGUCAUCUAGAGGGCAUGAUGCAUCACUAUAUUGGUAGGAAGUUGGCAUCUAAUACUAACACCAUGAAUUAUGCAUUUUCCUUGGCCAUAGGCAACACCUUUACAUUUAUGGUGGAGCUCGCAGUCCAUGGGGAUAUCUUUGUCAUAUUCAUAUAUUUCAAACUCCUCAUGGGGACAGAAAUUCCACCAUAAUGCACUUGUACAUAUGGUUGGAUAUUGGAAGAUCCACUCCGAUGCGGUCAUCUAGAAGACACGAUGUGUCAAUAUAUGGUAGGAAUUUGGCAUCCAAUACAAACACAAGGAAUUAAGUGUUUUCCUGGGCCACAGACAACACUGUGUAUAUUUAUAGUGGAGCUAGAAGUCCAUGGGGAUCUCUUCAUCAAAAUCAUAUAUUUUUGGCCCAUAAACUCCUCACGGCGAGAGAAAUUCCACUACAAUUCUCCGGUGAAGCUGUGGAAGCGUCGCCGCUAGCCUUCGAUCCAGCGGCGCCAGCUGACCCCGUGGUGCCAGAUCCAUUGUCUCUCGCGUCGGUAGUGGCUUUGAUGGUGCAAGCUGACCCUAUGGUGGUGGCAGCGCUGUCAGCGAACCAAGACGUGGUUUCAGGGUUUCUAGUACCUGUGGAGGCAUCCCUGUAGUUUACUACUGCCCUUUCUCCGUCGGCAACAUGACUUCAAGAUCGAUGCAAUAAAGUUAUUCGCCGGUGGCUAAAGAGAUGGGGAGGGUUCUUGGAAAUGUUACUUUGGGAAAUUUUGUUUCUUGUUGUGAGCGUCGUCUAGUGAUCGUGUUUCUUUUCUGUAUUUCAUCGUUGUUGUAGCAGUUGGGGGAGCUAAAUUGUUGCUUUUGAUUUACCUUGUUAUGUUGAAUGGCAGCGAUUUUCUAUGUAAGACUUUGGAAGCCAUUUUGAAUAUAUUUCUACCAAACUCAAUUCUA